GACGAACGCUGGCGGCGUGCUUAACACAUGCAAGUCGAACGGAAAGGCCCUGCUUUUGUGGGGUGCUCGAGUGGCGAACGGGUGAGUAACACGUGAGUAACCUGCCCUUGACUUUGGGAUAACUUCAGGAAACUGGGGCUAAUACCGGAUAGGAGCUCCUGCUGCAUGGUGGGGGUUGGAAAGUUUCGGCGGUUGGGGAUGGACUCGCGGCUUAUCCGCUUGUUGGUGGGGUAGUGGCUUACCAAGCGUUUGACGGGUAGCCGGCCUGAGAGGGUGACCGGGGACCUUGGGACUGAGAGAGGGAGCAGUAGCCUACGGGCGGCAGAAGUGGGAAAUAUGGCGGAAUGAGCGGGAGUGUGAGGCGGAAGUGUCGCGUGCGGGAUGACGGGCUUCGGGGGGUAAACAGCUGUGGCCUGUGACGAAGCGUGAGUGACGGUAAUGGGUAAAGAAGCACCGGCUAACUACGUG
rnacentral:rRNA from 1 species